ACAGGACUGCGCCCUCCCGGGCGGCCCCAGCUCAGCCCCAGAGGCAACCUCUACGCAGUGUCCUUUCUUUUGCAGUGUCCUUUCUUUUCCCGAGAGAGCCUGCACAAGCGCGCGCGUGUGCACGCGUGUGCGCACACGUGCUCGCACACCGUUUGAGAAAACAAAAACAAAACAGAAAUGGCCGCACACCACGCGUACUCUUCCGACCUUGCUUUUCUCAAAAACGUGCCUUGGGUCCUCCGCACUCCCGGCACAGGGGAGGAGCUCAGCAGCACCCAGCGGAGGUGAAGACACACCCUGGGGACCUAGCACGUGCUCUCCCGGGCACAUUCCCUCGACACCUAGAAAGCGCUCUCCCGGGCACGUACUGAGCUCUCCCGGCCAGCGGACUGCCGGCCUCAGGGACGCGCACGGGUAAGUUCCCGCAGCACAGUCGGAAUCGGCGAGAGAGACUGGGAGCGAUGCACACGCUCGUCCCCCAGAGACGGAUGACGAUCUGGGAUGUGCUGGCUCCACGGGGUGGUACGCAGCAGUGAGAAGAAAUGAGCCACAGCUACCUGUGAAUGGACAGUCGAAAGCGAAGGAGCAAACCGCAAAACAAUGCGUCCCAUGACUUCGUUUAGAAAGAGCCCAAAACUAGACACAAUGAAAUACGCUGUUUAAGGAUGACGACAGAGGCGGCGAAACCCAAGGAGAAGCACCAGGCGGUGACUGUCUCCAAAGUGAUUUUCCAGGCCUCGAUCGUUGCAAAGCACUGCGUGCACUUGAGCUGUCGCGCGGAAGGACCGGGAUGCCCGAGCCAGUCCCCACGGGGCCAGCCUUCAGCUCAGAAGUCUCCUCUUCCAAGAAGCCUUCCCUGAUUUCCUAAGCCCAGUUCUCUGGGCUUCCUCCUCCACAGCCAAGGCAGUGAUCUGUGCUCCACGGUCAUUCUGGCUGUCACCGACUGGUGCUGUCUGUCUCCACCACUAGAGCACAAGUUCCAUGAGGGAAGACCAUGGGCUGACCGGCCACCAGCCUUUCCCCGGCGUCAGCCAGAAAAGAGCUGGAGGCACAGCGGCACUCAGGGAAUAUCUACAAAAUCAAUGAGUGAGUGGCAGUGAGAACAAUAACAUAGCUCGCACGCAGUACAAGGAUUCUCCACGCCAGUCUCUUUUGAGUGCUUUCCGUGGAUGAAAUAAUCUUUAUACAGUCCCAUUUUAUAAAUGGGGAAACUGAGGCCAACAGGGGGAAGUCGCCGCAUGCCAAAGGUCACCCAGCCAAUAGGCAGCAGAGCCGGGGAACGCAUCCAGAGCCUUUGAUAGUCAUCUCCACCCCCGACGGCCUCUCCGGAAAGGCUGGAUGAGCCUGGCUACCAGGGGAAGCAGAGGGGCACAGGGGGGCAGGCAAGAGAAGAGACCGUCUGGCCCUCAGCCUGCAAUCCGUUCCUCUGUAGUGGGACAAACAGACCCCGGAUGAUAUCAGAGUUCCUUUAUCCCUUACAGGUGCUCAGUGAAGACCCCUUACAUGUCAAGGGCCUGUGACUGAGUCCCAUGUGGUGACCUGGGAAGCCAGCAGUGCCCUCCAUGGACAGAAAAUGCCGAUGUCACUUGAGGUUUCAAACCACCGCCCCCCCCCCCCAUGCCCUCCCGAGGCUCCCCCAGGGCUGGGCUGCUUUCAUCUGGCAACUGUGGGGGCGGGGGAGGCAGCUCCGACCCACACUGGGGAACAUUCCUAUUGGCACAGGACUUCAUUUGUCCACCUAGAGAAACCUCAAGAGCAAAAUAUUGAGAGCAAAUUACAGCCAAGAGCUGGCGGUCUGGUGUCAUUACACUCGGCUUUAAAAGCUGCGGAGCAAUAUGGGAGACUGUGUAGGGAGGCACCAAGGGACCACGGUGAGGCCUGAAUACCUGCAGGUGGGCACACAGGGCUUUCCCCAGGGCCAGGGUGUCUCUCCUCUCAGCUGGGCAAGAGGGCCUAAGGGGGGCCGUCAGGUGAUUCCCUGUCCUCUUGGGGCAUCUGAUAGCUCUCAAAAUCCACAAAAAUAGAAGCAACAAUUAAAAGGAAGAAAAGGGGCACCUGGGUGGCUCUGUUGGUGAAGCGUCCGACUUCGGCUCAGGUCAUGAU